AGAAGUGUAUUGUAGGUCGCAGGAGUAUUAUUGUUGAUUUGAAAAAGAUUUGUGUAUGAAUUGGGGGUGAGUUAAUUGGUAACAUUUAUGUGUGAAUAGAAACGUCUAGUUUUGAGAGUUAUGGUGAUUGAAUUCUUAUUUUUUUACGAGAUGGUAAUAGUACUGCGAAGGAAUUAAUAAAUGUGUUGUUGUUUAAGUUAGAAUUUAGUUGGAGUUGGUGUCUGUACCUUUUGUAUCAUGGUUCUUCUAGGUUUAAUAGUUUAAAUGAAUAGGCCCGAAAAAAGCUGAGCUAUUUCUUGUUUUCCGUUGAUGUUGUAAAAUCAUGGUUAAAGCGUGAAAUAGGGGUGAAAUGCCUGUCGAAGCUUUUGAUAGCUGGUUAGCUAGGAAAGGCAUAAAAGUGUUGGUCCGUAUAGGUAUAAAGCUAUUAUUUAAGUUUAUAGUGUAGUCAAUUUUGUUUCAGGUAAUGUUGGUGUAAAAAGUUUAUAAAUAGAAGGAAUAUUUAUAUAUGGAAUUUAAGUAGAAAAGGAUAAGCUUUUUUACUGUCAUAAGAAAGUAUACGGGAGCUCUAAUUUUUUGGGGCCUGGAUUUGGUGGGCUUAGAGUUAGUCAUCUGGUAUGUGAGUUUGUUAUAAAUUUGUAGUUGGGCUUAUUUAUGUAGUUAAAGAUUUGUUUUGGUUGCUUUCUAUUGUGGGGUCUAUUGUUAAGAUAAGUGUAUUUGUACUGGCUUAACUGCUAGAGUUUUUAUUAGUGGUGUGUUUCUGGAGAAAUGAGUAUUUAGAAUUAAUUAUUAGUGAUCAUUUAAAAUAGUUAUGGAUUGAAGGGAUAUUUUAUGGUUAAAGGAAAUUUGUAGAUUGAUUUUAUGGCGGGGGUAAGUUAAAGCUUUGGCUGUAAGUGAUUUAGGAAUUUAAUUUUAUGAAAGGAAUUCGGCAAAACUUGGCUUCGCCUGUUUAUCAAAAACAUGGCUCCUUGUAAAAGUUUGAAUGUAAGGGGUCGAACCUGCCCGGUGACUAAGUGUUAAACGGCCGCGGUACCCUAACCGUGCAAAGGUAGCAUAAUCAUUUGCCUUUUAAUUGGAGGCUUGUAUGAAUGGUUUGACGAGAGCUAAGCUGUCUCUUUUGAAAUAUCUAGAAAUUAACUUUUAGGUGAAGAGGCCUAAAUAAUAUUGAGGGACAAGAAGACCCUGUUGAGCUUUAGUGGUGUGUUGAAAUAUUUUUGGGUAGUAGGCAGGGAGAACCUGUUUUACCGGGUAUAUGAUACUUCAUAAUGUUUUUUCAGCAUUAAUCUUUGGUUGGGGCGACUGAGGAACAUUUAGAGCUUCCUUUGGUUGAGUGUUGAAUAAGAUAUUGUGAUUACAGGGAAAUUGUUGUAGUCAGACUGCGUUGGAUCCAGUAUUAUUAAUACUGAUUAGAGGAAAAAGUUACCACAGGGAUAACAGCGUAAUCUUUCUGGAGAGAUCUUAUCGAAAGAAGGGUUUGCGACCUCGAUGUUGGACUAAGAUAUCCUAAGGGUGUAGAAGCUCUUGAUGGUUGGUCUGUUCGACCAUUAAAAUCUUACAUGAUCUGAGUUCAGACCGGCGUGAGCCAGGUUGGUUUCUAUCUUCAAUGUUAUGGAUUGAUUUUUGGCUAGUACGAAAGGACCGUUGUUAAAAUAAAUAGUUUGUAUAAAGGGAUUGAGUUUAAUUAUUUUGUAAAAGUUAGUUUGUUGUUGAGUUUUGUAUGAGGGCU
rnacentral:rRNA from 1 species